rnacentral:lncRNA from 1 species
CUUUGGAGUUACAUGCCUCUUCAGGGAAAUUGUGCCUGCUUCAAUGUAGCUAGGACUAAAUGUGAAGGUGACAUAUCAUGUGACACUUGGCUAUGCUAGAAACUUGAAGAAAUAAGCAUCUUACUUCAAAUAUGCACAUAAGAAAGUGAGUUCUUACAGAAACAUUUCCUUUAAAAAAAUCUGAUUCAAUGAAUGGAGCUACAGGUCAUUCAAACUGGCUCUUGGCUCUUGGCUGGACUAUUUAUUUUUUUUCUCAUAUAACAGAUCAAACGCGGAGUAAGACUGUUGGACUAGAGUUCCUAUGGGGUGGUGCCUGGUGGGAAGGCCACAGGGAAGCUACAUGGAUCUUUGGAAGUGAAUAGACCAUGGGCAGAAAGUGGAGAGGGUAGAAGGGCUCCAAGUUAUUUACAAGAUGUUAUGUGGCAGAAGGUUUCCCAGCAUAUGGGUGAUAAGGAGCAAUGUACAGCUGCAUCAUUAAAUCAUUCCCCUUGAACUGAGGUACAAGCACAAAAUCCAACCUCAACUGUACAGUUGUGCAGGGAGUAAACAUUGAUCCACAGAGGGCAUGGUGGUCCUUAUGGGAGGAGGGUGGAAACUACUCUGAGACUGACAUCAGAACCUCUGAGAAAGCAUUUCCAAGACUACAUGUUUCAGAGCGAUCUAGGCUCAUGAGAGAGCCAAGAGAAAUACGUGAAAUUACCAAAGUGACUUUCUCAUGACAUUUCAGACUGAAAGUUGAUAAUGACGAUGUUUAACCAAGAUUUUGUUUUGCUUUGUUUUCUGAAAAAAACCGAAGACCGUUCUGGAAGGGAAAGGAGCUUCACAGUGAGUCCUGGGUCCUGAUUUGUUGAGAGAGGAUUCCCUGCACACUGGACACUAGGCUGUGUCGAUCUCAGGGCUGGCUGUCAGCAAUGGUUGGAAUCCUGGUUGAGGCUACUCAUUUCUAGAAACUGGAGAUAUUUGUUAGGAGUGUAGUGCGAGGAAAUAGAACAUUUUAAAAUCGCUGUCAGAACAGUAGCUAUCAAACUGGGGUUUAUGGAUUCUCUAGGAGAAAUUUUGCUUUUAGAAUUUUCAUUGGAUGACUGAAUAAAAGAGCAAUAUUUUAAAGCCUAUUUUGGAUCCUCCAGAUGAUGCCUUAUAAGUAAGUCUUGUCCUACAAUUUCAGUGGCUACAUUUUCAAUCAUGGAGCCAAUUGAAG